CCUAGCUACUGCAGGGCUGUACCAUCUUUCUCUCUUUUCCUCCCUACACCCAUUUUUCUCCUGAUAUUCAAGGUGUCAGUGGAUGCUGAGCAUGCACUUGUGUACCAAUCUCCAUCAACUGCUCAGCUGCCUGCUAGUCCCACAUCUGUUUGAGAGGAUGCUGAGUUUAUAUUUCAGGACACAUAUCAUGGUGGAAAGACUUUGGAGUGCUGAGGCUUUUUGGGAAUCAUCACUCAAAAGAAAAUGUACUACAUGGAGCCAUCCACCAAGCAACUAGUCCUCGAGUCCUUGACCUUGGAGUAAAUAUAGCCUAUCAGGGAUACAAUGACUUUUUUAUGUGAUUGCUCUAGUGUUUGUUAACAAAAUUGCUUAAAAAAAACUCACCUCUCACUGUGCCCCAAGCUGAAAUAAAUAUGCAGGGUACAAGAGAGUUAUCUAACUGUGAAGUAUGCAGUAUGUUCCACGACUGAUCUAAUGCUGGGAAAAUGUGGGAAUGAAAGGCUUCCAUAAAAUGUAAUUUAUCUAUACUUUGUACCAAGCAAAGGAGUCAUAAAGCUGAGCUUGAAUUUUUUUUGUAUGAAGACAGUGUUGCUCUGAAGCAUAAGUAAAAACAUGGGGUGAGCUUGCAGUUAGAGUAUUUUCUGAGCCAGCCACAUAAGAAACCUACAGAAGAAGCUGCAGUGCUCUGAGAUGAAUCAGAAUGGAAGCUACAUUAGCUCAUAGCUCACUGCAACCAUGCAAUGGUAGCUGAAAUUUCUUAUUUUUUUCCUUUAUAUAAUGUCCAGGUGGAAUUUAAGGGUUUUCAGUGUUGUCUAGAGAUGCUGAAGCUGUGACAGUCUGAGAAGUAGUUUUGACCAGCCUCCCAGUGAUCUUCAGAUCCUCACCAUGUGCUCAGGCUGUGUGCUGGUCAGUUGUACAUGGUGCAGAGAAUAGGUUGUUCUUCCAAGACGUUCAAGUCCCAAAUAAGACAGAGGUCUGUGUGCCCUGCAUUCAUUUUGGUGAGGGGGAAAAGGGGUAGUUUGUAGUUAAAGUUUCAGACUUGGGGAGUCAAAAAGAAGACAGCCCUCUACCCUGUUGUUCAUUUCUACGAAGGAUGCAACACUUAGUGUACUUACAUAGAGAGAUUGUAUCAGUGUACAUCCCAUUCAUAACUCAUUUCUCUUUUUAACAGUACCAGCCUGGUAAGGCUAUUGAGUAUUUGCACUGCAUGUGAAACACAGGAAGAAUGAGAUGCUUUAUGGUCCUAAAUUCAAUUCACGGUUAAACGUCUCAGGUAAUGGAAGCUUUUACCACUUCACUUGAGAGAGCAUUGUAUUGUCUGCUAGAUUUCAUAAGCAAGGAGUUUUCUUUUUUAUUUAGUUGAGCUGCUUACUUUUUCUGAAGAAACAAAUGACCAAAUAAAAAGCAAAUCUGAAAACCUC